UACGUAGGGGCAAGCGUUGUCCGGAAUCAUUGGGCGUAAAGGGCGCGUAGGCGGCCGAGCAAGGUCGUGGUGAAAGCCCGGGGCUCAACCCCGGGUCGGCCAUGGCAACUACUCGGCUCGAGCACGGUAGAGGCGGGUGGAAUUCCGGGUGUAGCGGUGGAAUGCGUAGAGAUCCGGAAGAACACCGGUGGCGAAGGCGGCCUGCUGGCAGUAGCUGGACACUGAGGCGCGACAGCGUGGGAGCAACAGG
rnacentral:rRNA from 1 species